UACGGAGGAUGCAAGCGUUAUCCGGAUUCAUUGGGUUUAAAGGGUGCGUAGGCGGACUAUUAAGUCAGUGGUGAAAGCCUGCAGCUUAACUGCAGAACUGCCAUUGAUACUGAUAGUCUUGAGUUUGGUUAAGGUAGGCGGAAUGUGUAAUGUAGCGGUGAAAUGCUUAGAUAUCACACAGAACACCAAUUGCGUAGGCAGCUUACUGAGCCGACACUGACGCUGAGGCACGAAAGCGUGGGGAUCGAA
rnacentral:rRNA from 1 species